CUUCUCUACAAUUUGGCUCCUUACAAAUUAACAAAAUAAACACAAACUAGGAAAACAAAAUUAACAUUUCCAUUUUUGAUAACUCGGUGCUGCUGUUUUCUUCUCAGAUCAAAGAGCAUUGACUGACACUAUGGUAAUGUGAUGGACCUCCCUCGCUCUCCGGUGGCUCCACCCCUGGAGUCGUGUUUCCUGCGUCCGGCGAGGCCAGCCAACCGUCGUCCCCCCUCCCGCUGGGCAGCCCCCUCCUCCCACCGAGGCUGGCGCGACGUCACAGAGCGGAGGCUCACCUUCCCCAUGGUGACUGGGACCAGUAAGACUGGGACAGGGUCCACCUCUAUACCGGACCUGGACGAGACUGGACCAGCAGAAUCAUGACAGGAACCAUCACCAUACCCUUGUCCUCCUUAUCUCCCUUUACUCGCUCCACUCUCUGUCUCUCCUGUGAAACCCUGCCAGUACCUCAGACCCAUCUUUCCUAGUCCUCCUCUACUCCCUCUCCUCCCUCCCGCUUCUCUCCUCCCUCCUCUCUCCCGCUUCUCUCCUCCCUCCCGCUUCUCUCCUCCCUCCUCUCCUGCUUCUCUCCUCUUUUCCUCCUCCUCUCCUCUUCUCCUCCCUCCUCUCUCCUGAUGGAACUGUCCACACUCUAUCCUCCUCCACUCUUCCUUACUCCUCCUCUCUCCUAGUCCUCUUCUCCACUCCUCCAUACUACUCCUCUCUCCUGCUCCUCCCUCCCCUCCUCUUCUCCUGAACAGACAGGGUACCUCAGACCACCCCCCCCCCCCCACUCUCGUAGGGAUUCGUAGGGGGUGGGAGAUUUGUAACAGGGUUGAGCCCCUGUAGCACCAGCUAACCAACCAGGAACUCAACAGAACUGGAACUUAAAACUUUGAACUCCGGAAUGAAAAGAACCUGGAUAGUACUGUAACAACAAAAACAAUGACAUCAUCCAAACAUUACCAUCAGAUGUGCCUCUACUUGAUUUACUCAUAGUUCCACAUGUGUGUAUAUAUAUGUAUGCAAUACAUACAUACAUAUAUAUCUAUAUACAGUACCAAUCAAAAGUUUGGACACACCUACUCAUUCAAGGGUUUUUCUUUAUUUUUACUAUUUUCUACAUUGUAGAAUAAUAGUGAAGACAUCAACACUAUGAAAUAACACAUAUGGAAUCAUGUAGUAACCAAAAAAGUGUUAUAAAAUAUAUUUGUUUAUUUGAGAUUCUUCAAAGUAGCCACCCUUUGCCUUGAUGACAGCUUUGCACACUCUUGACAUUCUCUCAACCAGUUUCACCUGGAAUACUUUUCCAAAAGUCUUGAACGAGUUCCUACAUAUGCUGAUGCUUUUCCUUCACUCUGCGGUUCAACUCAUCCCAAACCAUCUCAAUUGGGUUGAGGUCGGGUGAUUGUGGUGACCAGGUCAUCUAAUGCAGCACUCCAUCACUCUCCUUCUUGGUCAAAUAGCCCUUACACAGCCUGGAGGUGUGUUGAAGAGUGAGUGAAGGAAAAGCAUCCAACAAGUGCUCAGCAUAUGUGGGAACUCCUUCAAGACUAUUGGAAAAGUAUUCCUCAUGAAGCUGGUUGUGCAAAGUUGUCAUCAAGGCAAAGGGUGGCUACUUUGAAGACUCUCGAAUAUAAAAUAUAUUUUUGAUUUGUUUAACACUUUUUUUGUUGGUUACUACAUGAUUCCAUAUGUGUUAUUUCAUGGUUUUGAUGUCUUCACUAUUAUUCUACAAUGUAGAAAAUAGUAAAAAUAAAGAAAAACCCUUGAAUGAGUAGGUGUGUCCAAACUUUUGACUGGUACUGUAUAUAUAUAUAUUAGUCAUAUAAUAAACGCAUUUUCAGAUGUCGAGAGAACUAUAAAACCGUUAUCCUAAUACCAGUAUGAACAUAAAGGUAUACACAUUUUCUGUUGGUUUAUGUUUUUGUUUAUUCUGCAUAUACGUAUCAUUUGUUAUAUUCUGUGCUGUGUGUAAAUACUCUUAAACUAUUUUCUUAUUCAGUUAAACAUAUCUUAUGUUAUUGUUUGUUCCUUUGAAGCUUGAAGUCAGACUACUCACUUGUAUAAUAAACAAACAAACAAAUGUUUUAAGACAAAAAAAAUAAAAAAAAUACUGCUUCCUGUUGGCUGAGGCAGGUGAAUCCAUGAUGUCAGUUACGAUGCUAAUAUAUGUAUUUCUAUAUGUUUGAAAUGAAUGUUCAACUCUGUAAACGUGUAGAAGAAGAGAGGGAAGAUAGCAACUGAGUAACCCUUAUGCAUAUGUGGAAGGAAGUUGUAACAAUUAUCAGUUACAUAGGCUGCUAUCCCAAAUGGCAUCCUAUUCACAUAGGGAAAGGGGGGAGGGGGGGUG
rnacentral:lncRNA from 1 species